CAGCAGCCGCGGUAAUACGUAGGGUGCGAGCGUUAAUCGGAAUUACUGGGCGUAAAGCGUGCGCAGGCGGUUGUGUAAGACAGGUGUGAAAUCCCCGGGCUUAACCUGGGAACUGCGCUUGUGACUGCACAGCUAGGGUAUGGCAGAGGGGGGUGGAAUUCCACGUGUAGCAGUGAAAUGCGUAGAGAUGUGGAGGAACACCGAUGGCGAAGGCAGCCCCCUGGGCCAAUACUGACGCUCAUGCACGAAAGCGUGGGGAGCAAACAGGAUUAGAUACCCCCGUAGUCCCUGUCUCUUAUAC
rnacentral:rRNA from 1 species